UACGGGGGGGUGCGAGCGUUGUCCGGAAUCACUGGGCGUAAAGGGCGCGUAGGCGGACAGUUUAGUCAGAGGUGAAAGCCCAGGGCUCAACCUUGGAAUUGCCUUUGAUACUGGCUGUCUUGAGUUCGGGAGAGGUGAGUGGAAUGCCGAGUGUAGAGGUGAAAUUCGUAGAUAUUCGGCGGAACACCAGUGGCGAAGGCGACUCACUGGCCCGAUACUGACGCUGAGGCGCGAAAGCGUGGGGAGCAAACAGG
rnacentral:rRNA from 1 species